GAUCCUGGCUUAGGAUGAACGCUGGCGGCAUGCCUAAUACAUGCAAGUCGAACGAGUAGACCUCGGGGUUUGCUAGUGGCGAACGGGUGAGUAACACGUAGAUAACCAACCCUUAUGACGAGGAUAACCCGGGGAAACCUGGACUAAUACUGGAUAGGAGCUAAUUUCACAAGAGGUUAGUUUUAAAGGCGCCUCAAAGCGCCGCAAGAGGAUGGGACUACGUCGCAUUAGCUAGUUGAGGGGUAACGGCCCACCAAGGCGACGAUCGGUAGCCGAACUGAGAGGUUGAUCGGCCACAUUGGGACUGAGACACGGCCCAGACUCCUACGGGAGGCAGCAGUGGGGAAUAUUGCGCAAUGGGGGAAACCCUGACGCAGCAACGCCGCGUGAAAGGAUGAAGGUUUUCGGAUUGUAAACUUCUUUGAUUGGGGACGAUAGUGACGGUAACCCAAAAAACAAGCCACGGCUAACUACGUGCCAGCCGCCGC
rnacentral:rRNA from 1 species